rnacentral:rRNA from 1 species
AGUAUUCUGGCGGGCAUGCCUGUUCGA